rnacentral:misc_RNA from 1 species
GAUGAAGAACGCAGCGAAAUGCGAUAAGUAAUGUGAAUUGCAGAAUUCAGUGAAUCAUCGAAUCUUUGAACGCACCUUGCGCCCUUUGGCCAUUCCGAAGGGCAUGCCUGUUUGAGUAUCAUGAACACCUCAACUCUCAUGGCUUGCCAUGAUGAGCUUGGACUUUGGGGGUCUUGCUGGCCUGUGGUCAGCUCCUCUCAAAUGAAUUAGCUUUCCAGUGUUUGGUUGGCAUCACAGGUGUGAUAACUAUCUACGCUUGUGGUUUCCACCAGGUAACCUUCAGUAACAUGGGGGUUUGCUGGAGCUCAUAAAUGUCUCUCCUCAGUGGGGACAGCUCUUUGAACGUUUGAUCUCAAUCAGGUAGGACUACCCGCUGAACUUAAGCAUAUCAAUAAGCGGAGGA